rnacentral:sRNA from 1 species
CUUUCUAUAUUAUUGUGAAUUAUAAAGUGUGUUUAUCCUUAAAUUUAAUAGAGAACCUAUUAACCACCAUCCCCUCUCCCUCCGUAUCCACGGCAAUGACCAUCAGCUACACGAUCUAUAAAAAAACAAUAGAAGCAGUGACUCCUAUGGCAGGUCUCAUGAUUUUCACACCGAACUGACUCGCAUUCAACACGCGGUGUCAAAGGUGAAUACGCCCGUCGAUCCGACGUUCCCUGCUUUGGAAACAGAGAUUGAUAGGGAUUGUUGACGGGAUUCCAUAUCUGCUGCUCUUCAACUGCAAAGCUAUCAACACUGUUCCAAACCUCAAAAAGAUGACUCUGCAAAUCUCCCGAAUACUGAUUGGCAACAGUCAUUAGGUGACUACUAUUAAAUCUUCUGUAAUCAAGAACGUUGCCAGCUCCAUCAUAUGAUCGCAAAACCCCAUCAUCAUCUAGAUGCAAAACUCCCGUCGAAUCGAUUUGAACACUACGAAUCAUAUCAGAUACUUCGUUCUCAAAUGCUGAACCUGGUCAAAAAAGAUUAGCCAUCAGCUUUCAAAUUAUAGUAAGUCGAAUUUUACACAUGUGAGGAGUUAAUUAUACUUGAUAAUAUAUCAUUCUUCGCUGUUGCCUCGACUUUCACAUUGAUAAGAAAGCCGAUCACGGCCAAGGUGAUCAAUUGCAUCGUAAUUGAUAAAAACGUAACAAUAUUUCCAUUCCGCAGUAAAUAUAGAUGUAUAACUACUAUUCUAGAAUGUAUGUAUCUAUGGAAAUUGACAGACAGAAUAUAUAAAUUUUUUUUAACAAUAACUAACUGACAAUUAUUAAGUUUAGUAAUAAUUAACUAGUUAACUAGUUAUGUUUUAUCAGAGUGUUUGAGUAAACUGGCCAUUAGCCGAUUAACUCUAUCUGUACAUUCUCUUUGAUCUAAUUGGGCUUGUAAACAUUCUUCAAUAGCAUCUGUUAAUGUGAGGAUGAAAAAAACCAG